UCCUAGCCCUGAUGGUAGCGGCAUCCUCGUAACGCAGUGGAGAGAUACAGCGGACAGCAGGAGAUUUC
rnacentral:sRNA from 1 species